rnacentral:tRNA from 1 species
GCCGCUCUAGCUCAACUGGCAGAGCAACCGCCUUGUAAGCGGUAGGUUUUGGGUUCGAAUCCCAAGAGCGGCUCCA